rnacentral:lncRNA from 1 species
GAAGGGCAGGCCCCGCCCCGCCCCGGCCCCGCCCCCGCCGGGCCGUAGCCCCCGCCCCCCGCCGCGCGCCCGGCCCGCAGCCGCCGCCGCGCCGAUGCCACGUGGGAGGCGGCGGAGCCGCCGUCGGCGCCGGGCCGGAACCGCGGCCCCCCUGACGCUGGGGACGGCCCUCGCCGGGCGCCGGGAGGAGGGGAGGUCGCGGAGCCCCCGGGACCGCGGCGGCAUCGCCGAGACCCGAUGGGUGCUCGGCGCGGUGGCCCCCGGUUCGCGGCUCGGCCUCCCGGGCCUAGAGGCGCUGGCGGCGGCGGCCGGGCCUAGGGGCGGCUCCCCGCCCUGGGCGGCGCCCUCGCUGCUCCAGGUGCCGGCGGCGGCCCAGCCGGCCCCGCGGCGGGAGGGCAGCGACCUGCCCGCCGGCGCGCCGGCCGCCCUGGCCGUGCUGCGCCUUCAGCCCGGCGCGGAGGGCUCGGCGCGGGCGGCGGCGGCGGCGGCGGCGGGGGCCNCGGCGGCCGGUGCCGCGGCGGCGGGGCAGGGCGAGGCGGCGGCGGCGGCGGUGGAGGCGGCGGCCACCCCUUACGUGGGGCUGCGGCGGCCGCUGGGCUACAAGCUGGCUAAGGCCACCAAGGAGCGGAUCUGGCGGGGGGAGUUCAUUGACCUCUUUUCCUUGCUCCACACAGAGCUGGCCCCCGAGCACGGCCCGCGCCCGGGGGACACGCUGGACCAGUGGGUCUCGGCCUUCCUGGUGUACGCCAGCGUGCUGUGCGAGAAGCACCCGGCGCGCUGCGGAGCCAUGUUCAAGUACCUGGACACCAUCCGCAAGCUGCACGCCACCUACGGGGGCACCUCGUGGAUGAACUACGACGAGGACUUUCGGCGGCGGGCGGCCAAGGACCCCACCCUGCCCUGGGGGGACGUCGACCUGGACCUCUGGAUGAAGUGGAUGGCGCCCCUCAAGUCCCUCGUCGACAGGAAGCUGCCGGGUGAGAGCGAGGCGCAGGCCUCGCCAGCCCCGCCGCCCCCAACGGCAGCAGCACCACCGCCACCAUCCCAGAGCCCCAAGCAGGAGGAGAAAAGCCAGACUCCAUGAAAACAGAAGGCCAGUUGGGAUGGCAGUCAGACUAAGUGGCCUGACUCCGUUGGUGUUUAAGUGGAGCUCUGGUAUUCUAGUGCAUUCUUUUACCUCUGCUUCUGUUGCGUUGCAAGCUGUGCUAGAGAAGACGUAGGAAAUUCAUUUUACCCAAUCAGCAAUUGUAACAAUGGACUACAAACCUGCAGAGCAAGCCAGUUUGCUGGAAAACAGGAAUUCCUGCAGCGCAGCACUUGUCACAGACUAUCCAAAGAGGGCAAAGAUUCAGGAAGGUGAAUAAAUUGAACAUUGGUUGAAUGAGGUCA